rnacentral:tRNA from 2 species
GCCGCGGUGGCGGAAUUGGUAGACGCGACGGACUUAAAAUCCGUUGGUGGUAACAUCAUGAGGGUUCGAUUCCCUCCCGCGGCACCA